GGGUGAGUAACGCGUGGGAACCAGCCCAGAGGUACGGAAUAACAGUUGGAAACGACUGCUAAUACCGUAUGAGCCCGAGAGGGGAAAGAUUUAUCGCCUUUGGAGGGGCCCGCGUCAGAUUAGGUAGUUGGUAGGGUGGUGGCCUACCAAGCCUUCGAUCUGUAGCUGGUCUUAGAGGAUGAUCAGCCACACUGGGACUGAGAUACGGCCCAGACUCCUACGGGAGGCAGCAGUGGGGAAUAUUGGACAAUGGGGGCAACCCUGAUCCAGCAAUGCCGCGUGAGUGAUGAAGGCCUUCGGGUUGUAAAGCUCUUUUGCCAGGGACGAUAAUGACGGUACCUGGAGAAUAAGCCCCGGCUAACUUCGUGCCAGCAGCCGCGGUAAUACGAAGGGGGCUAGCGUUGUUCGGAAUUACUGGGCGUAAAGGGCGCGUAGGCGGUUUGAUUAGUUAGAUGUGAAAUUCCCGGGCUUAACCUGGGCGCUGCAUUUGAUACUGUCAGGCUUGAAUUCGGGAGAGGAUAGUGGAAUUCCCAGUGUAGAGGUGAAAUUCGUAGAUAUUGGGAAGAACACCAGUGGCGAAGGCGACUAUCUGGACCGACAUUGACGCUGAGGCGCGAAAGCGUGGGGAGCAAACAGGAUUAGAUACCCUGGUAGUCCACGCCGUAAACGAUGAGUGCUAGACGCUGGUAGGUUUACCUAU
rnacentral:rRNA from 1 species